CCUACGGGUGGCUGCAGUGGGGAAUAUUGGACAAUGGGGGCAACCCUGAUCCAGCCAUGCCGCGUGUGUGAAGAAGGCCCUCGGGUUGUAAAGCACUUUCAGUGAGGAAGAACGCCUGGUGGUUAAUACCCAUCAGGAAAGACAUCACUCACAGAAGAAGCACCGGCUAACUCCGUGCCAGCAGCCGCGGUAAUACGGAGGGUGCGAGCGUUAAUCGGAAUUACUGGGCGUAAAGCGCGCGUAGGUGGCUUGAUAAGCCGGUUGUGAAAGCCCCGGGCUCAACCUGGGAACGGCAUCCGGAGCUGUCAAGCUAGUGUGCAGGAGAGGAAGGUAGAAUUCCCGGUGUAGCGGUGAAAUGCGUAGAGAGCGGGCGGAAUACCAGUCGCGAAGGCGGUCUUCUGCACUGACACUGACACUGAGGUGCGAAAGCGUGGGUAGAAAACAGGAUUAGAUACCCCUGGAGUC
rnacentral:rRNA from 1 species